CACACACGUGGUAAAGCAUGGUGUUGGAAUUUAUGCAGUCUGUAUAACCACAAAGACUGCUCUUUCCACUCCCCUAAUCUCUUUUUCCCACUCUUCAUAUAAUAGUGAGUGGAGGAAUCUGCAUAUGAAAUUUUAUCUGUAGGGCAUCAGCUGAAAGACAGAAUUUUUAGAAGGACUUAGGGAAGAAACUAAGGAAAGACAACAGCACGCAGCAACAAGCAGUCAACUGGGCCUCUCAUGCCACAGAGAACAUUAUGGUAGGCACCCGUGAGUGCUUACCAUAGCCCAAGACUUCUAGGAUGCUUUCCCGACCACCCUGUUCCACCCAGGGCAGAGCUGCCAACUCCUUGAGGCCUCUUGGGUUGCAACUGCAAUCAGAUGAAGUCCCAGGGCCCCAGGGUGGGCAGCAGCUCACCGUAGCCGUGCUCGAACUCUCGGUGUCGACGCCGGCGGUGGUGAUGGUGGUGGUGGUGGUGGUGGCGGUG